GUGCUCGCUUCGGCAGCACAUAUACUAAAAUUGGAAGGAUACAGAGAAGAUUAGCAUGGCCCCAGCACAAGGAUGACAUGCAAAUUCGUGAAGCAUCCCAUAUUUUU
ensembl:snRNA U6 U6 spliceosomal RNA